rnacentral:lncRNA from 1 species
UGUGAUAAUCCUAUGAUGAAAUUGAAAGAUAUUUAGAUUUUGGUGGAAGAAGGUAUCAGAAGUUGGCAGUUUCGAGUUCGAUCUACUCACCAAUUUGAAAGUUGGUAGUUUAGAGUUGGGUUGAUCUCUGAAGAUCUACGAAUUGGAUCAAGGUGAAAUUUGGCAUAGUCUUAUAAGACUUAAAGAUCAAGCUACAUACCAGUUUUGAGUUGAAGUUAACGGUUGGAAAAGGAGAAAUCAUUGUUGGAACAUUUGUAUCAACUUUCAAAUUGGCAGCCAAGUAAUAUCAACGUGGUUUUUGGGUAUUUUUUCAAGAUUUAUGAGUUGGAUUGGAGUGAAUUUUUGUAAGUACAUAAAAGAUCUAUAGUGGCAUUUGUAUGUUUUAAGUGUAAAAUUUAUUUACUAAUCCAAAUUAUAAAAUGGCCUCAAUUAAGAGUUGCUUGUAAUUAGUGGUAUAAAAGAGAAGUAGUUAGAAUAAAGAUAAAGGGAGUAAAAUACAAAAAAAAAGUGAAACAAGUAUAAUCAAGCAAUUGUACACUAAAAAACUAAUCUCAGUUUGUUCACUGAAUACUCAUUCAAAAUAAUAUAAAAAAAUAAUAAU